rnacentral:rRNA from 1 species
UGGGGAAUAUUGCGCAAUGGGGGGAACCCUGACGCAGCCAUGCCGCGUGAAUGAAGAAGGCCUUCGGGUUGUAAAGUUCUUUCGGUAUUGAGGAAGGUUGAUGUGUUAAUAGCACAUCAAAUUGACGUUAAAUACAGAAGAAGCACCGGCUAACUCCGUGCCAGCAGCCGCGGUAAUACAGAGGGUGCAAGCGUUAAUCGGAAUUACUGGGCGUAAAGCGCGCGUAGGUGGUUAUUUAAGUCAGAUGUGAAAGCCCCGGGCUUAACCUGGGAACUGCAUCUGAUACUGGAUAACUAGAGUAGGUGAGAGGGGAGUAGAAUUCCAGGUGUAGCGGUGAAAUGCGUAGAGAUCUGGAGGAAUACCGAUGGCGAAGGCAACUCCCUGGCAUCAUACUGACACUGAGGUGCGAAAGCGUGGGUAGCAAACAGGAUUAGAUACCCUGGUAGUCCACGCUGUAAACGCUGUCGAUUUGGGGGUUGGGGUUUAACUCUGGCGCCCGUAGCUAACGUGAUAAAUCGACCGCCUGGGGAGUACGGCCGCAAGGUUA